rnacentral:rRNA from 1 species
GACGAACGCUGGCGGCGUGCUUAACACAUGCAAGUCGAACGAAGUGGCGAACGGGUGAGUAACGCGUAAUCAACCUGCCCUUCAGAGGGGGACAACAGUUGGAAACGAAUGCUAAUACCGCAUACGGAAGGAGGGGAUUGCGUUUGAUUAGCUAGUUGGAGGGGAAACGGCCCACCAAGGCGAGGAACAGUAGCGGGUCUGGUAGGAUUAACGGCCACAUUGGGACUGAGACACGGCCCAGACUCCUUCGGGAGGCAGCAGGUGGGAAUCUUCCGCAAUGGACGAAAGUCUGACGGAGCAACGCCGCGUGAGUGAUGACGGCCUUCGGGUUGUAAAGCUCUGUUAAUCGGGACGCGGUACCGGAAUAGAAAGCCACGGCUAACUACGUGCCAGCAGCCGCGGUAAUUC